rnacentral:lncRNA from 1 species
CUCAGUGAGUCACCGGAGCCCUUGUUGCUGCCGCCCCCAAGAUCGGCUGUCGCCCCUACUUUCGGUUGCCGCACAUCACCGCCGUCCCAGCCCUUCUCCGGCGCUAGUUUUCACCCUGGAUGGAUGCAGCUCCCUCUCCCGAGCACUUCGGUGGCCGGAGCUCCACCGGAGGCAGCCGAGUCGCCCGGGCCAGCUCCAGCACCGCGCGCCAUGCCUCCGCCUCGUGGGCGCGAGCGAGGUAGAAGACGACCACGGCCCAGGCGGGCCCCGCGUCGCCCCCGUCCCCACCAGUCAGCCGCACGGCAUUGACUCGCCCUGCCAUGUCGGAUUAAGUGGAAGCGUAAUUCCCAACUUUACACUUUCUUCUUCUGGAAACGUAUUCUCUGCUUCUUCAGUGGAGUUUAGAUUUUCUUCUUCCGAAAAUGUAUUCUUAGUAAUAUGCUUUCUGGUUUUCAGCAGCCGGCCGAAUCUGCUAGUUUGUGAACGUUCACUGCUUUAGCGUAUUUUCUGCCUAAAAAGUGAACGGCCACAAAUUUAGGCUCGAGACUCCGAUUGAGGUGAAUGUGAAUCCAAAGCCCACGUCUUCGUCUUCUCGAGCCCGUUCUCUUCCCAUAAUUUUCACUAUGGUUUGACAUACUGGAAAUGAUCAUUUUGCCCUUGCCCCUAAUCAGCCCCCUCUAAGAGAGAAUCUUUUCCGCUGAAUCUUUUCGCGGCCUCACAGCACUUCUUCCCAGAGCUUUCUUCAUCCCCAGGCAAGCCACAACACCCACUUGCAUGAUGGCCAUGCAGUAGCCAUGGUUUUCAACUUGAACACUUAAUAAUUGUCUGUUUGUUUAUCUGCAACUAUUAUCGUUGUUUCCGUACUACUUAUGGUUUCAUGUUCAUCUUCGUGCUAUGUUUCGAUGCAUCUAGUUAUCUUGUGUUCUUGCUAGCAUUACUUUUGUAUGUCAUGCUUAGUAGUAGUACAUGCUGGUGUUGGAAGUGUGCUUCGGUGCAUGACUAUCGUCUAUUAUCGAGUACCGUGGUUAUGCAUGUUCCAUUGCAUCUAGCUGGUUACAUGAUUACUUGAGGUGUUAUCUCACUCUGUGCGUUCGUUUUACAUGGUUCGGUUUGUACGGUAUUAAUACUUCAGUAAAUACGGUUUGGUUUCGGUAUAUACUAAAUUAUUUCGGUAUGGUUUCGGUAUAUACCAUAAUAACAAAAGUUGACGCGAAUUUGAAAAUGACGCCGUAACAAUUUACAAAUUUUUAUUUUGGUUUAUUCGGUUAACCAUUCGGUUUUUGGGUAUAUACCAUAAAACCAAAGUUUAAAACGGUAUAAAAAGUUCGUACCGUACCAAAACAAGAAACCAUAAAAACCAUAAAAUUGGUUCGGUUUGGUUUAUUUUCGGUAUGGUUUUUCGGUUCAGUUUCAAAAUGCACAGAGUGAGUGUUAUCGCUAUAUUCUUGCAUGGUAUUUACUUCUGAUGCUAGUGGUUAUGCUAUGCUUAUGAGUAGUGUUAUGCUUGUGAUAUUCAUGCUCGUUAGUAUGCCAUGCUCAUCUGGAUAAAUGAUUCACUGUUGUAUGCUUAAGGUUUAUGUUGCAUCCAUGUUUAUGUUGGUAUCAUGCAUAUUGUUGCAUCAUGUUAUUUUCAUAUGACUCAACUUAUUGCAUUCAAGUUUAACCAGACUUAAUUGAACUUGAACAACUUUUGGCUGAGUCAUGGUGCCACCAUAUCGAGCUGACUAGUGCUGCCACAUUUGCCUUUUAUGGGAAAGGUCCUAACAGGGUCUAUUGUCCUCCCUCUCGCUGGUGCCUCCAACCAGGGAAGGUUAUGCGCGAGCGCUACCUUGGCCGGGUAGGACGACAUAAGCCGUGUGUUAAAUCUAUCGAUAGCCGCGCCCGCGGAUAUGGGCCCAGUUCGUAAUUGGUCACACUAUGGGUCAACAGUAAUAAAAAUGAUGUGCUUAAUGACAACCCUGGUUCGAUGAUGAAAGAAGUUGGUUGAUUUUUAUGUGAUUGUGAGAGAAUCACCAUGGUAUCGAGGAUACCAAGUUGUUGGAUAUUUGUGGUGUUAUGCGAGCAUCAUGGGUAAAGUUCAAGCUCCUUGUGGUCAUGUAAUGAUUACUACGAUAUUGUUUAUACCAAGAUUGAUUGGAUCCUAAGAUGGUCAUGUCGUGUUCGCGGUGGUAAGUGAUGCGUGAGAUGGUUACGAGGUAACCCGAGCAGAGUAAGUUGGUGCAUGAUAGUGUCAUCAUGUUGCAUGCUAGUUUCAUCUUGAUUUUAUGUUCAUGCCAUGCUCAUAUUGUUCUAGUGGUAUCAUGUUCAUUUUGUUCAUGCUAUAAUUGAUCUGAUAAUAUCAUGUUAAUCCUUGUUAACCUGUAAUUGCCAUGCUGUUGUUUGUCUUCAUUGCUCUUGGUUACUGUGAGCUUGCAAGUACAUUCAAUGUACUGACCUGGCGUGUCAUGCCAGUUUGCAGGUCAAGCCAAAUUUGAUUGCUUGUUCGCCGUGGAUUCCUUGUUUGCGAGCUAGGAUAAGCGUUCCAGCCAGAGUCCCUGCGGAGUGGAGUUCACCACCAUCGUCGAUGUUCCGCUGCCAAUAGUUAUUCCGCUGCUUCGUGUUGUUCUAUUGUUUGCAUAGGCAACCACGGCAUGCAUAGUGUCGCAGUGCCGAUGUAAUCCCCUUGUACCCAAAUAGAUUGUAAUAAAGAGCUGAUUUGUUCUAUGCUAAGUAGUGUCAUAUUCCAGAAGACUUCUCCUCGAUCUCUGGGCUAGAAUAUGGG